rnacentral:rRNA from 1 species
AACGAACGCUGGCGGCAUGCCUAACACAUGCAAGUCGAACGAGACCUUCGGGUCUAGUGGCGCACGGGUGCGUAACGCGUGGGAACCUGCCCUUAGGUUCGGAAUAACUCCCCGAAAGGGGUGCUAAUACCGGAUAAUGUCUUCGGACCAAAGAUUUGUCGCCUUUGGAUGGGCCCGCGUUGGAUUAGCUAGUUGGUAGGGUAAAAGCCUACCAAGGCGACGAUCCAUAGCUGGUCUGAGAGGAUGAUCAGCCACACUGGGACUGAGACACGGCCCAGACUCCUACGGGAGGCAGCAGUGGGGAAUAUUGGACAAUGGGCGAAAGCCUGAUCCAGCAAUGCCGCGUGAGUGAUGAAGGCCUUAGGGUUGUAAAGCUCUUUUACCCGGGAUGAUAAUGACAGUACCGGGAGAAUAAGCUCCGGCUAACUACGUG